GGACCCUGUGCAGUUCCGCAACUGGCUUCAGGUUGAUCCAAUUUCAGAGAAGAGUUCCCAGUCCUCGGGCUCUGCUUAAACCUUGACGUUCAAGGGAGAGAACACGGCAAGGCAAGCAUCAGGCCAGACGCCUGGAGUUUAUCCUGGGAGCCCAGCCGCACGCUGCCAGGGGUGAGUGUUUAUAUAAACCCAUUCAAACUCUAGCUCCUGAUUUUUUCCAGGCGAUAAGGAGGGCUGGUUUUAUUUAGGGAGACACCAAGGUGAUGUGGAAGAGAUGUGGGUGGGAAGGGAGAGCUUAGCCAAUGGAAAUAAAGUCCUCCCCCCUACACACGCCACUAGAGACAAGAUUAAAAGCGAGAGCGAGGGAGAAAAUGCUUCAAACAAGUCGCUCGGCAGCCCGGAGCCUGUUAGGCAGCGCAUAAUGCCCCGCGGUGAGCAUCCCGGGGAUGUCGCGCGGCCACGCUGAUGCACUGCGGGCGGGCGCAGCGCGAGCCUCCCGAGCCGCCGCCGCGCCGCUCCGGACCCCGGAUUCCGCUUCUCGCCGCCGGCCGCCGGCCCUCCUCGCCGCCUCCUCCGGGCCCCCUCUUUCGGGCGGAAUUCCAAAUGCCGGCGGGCCGCGGCCAGCGCCCCGGAGAGGGGGCAGCGCGCCACCGCGGACAGGCGCGGACCCGGAGGCCGGCAGGACGCGGGGGCUCCAACGGGCCUCGCCUCUACCCCGCCUCCCGGAAGAUUCAAUGGGGGCAGAGGCGGUGUUGGUUUGCAAACUGGCCCCUGGACACAGUCGGCAAGGAGAGACCAAGAAAGAAGCAGACCUCUCCAGAUGGGUUCAGCCUGCAGCAGGACAGCCAGAUCCCCAGGGAGAUUGGAGCGAUUCCCCCUCCCCCCACAGAGAGAUGCAAAGUAAUUCACCCAUCCUGGUGAGAUGUCUUACUGCAAAUUCCAGUAGAUGAUGCAUGAUGGGGGCUUGGUGUUUUCAGCAGUAUAGCACAUUGAUCCACGGAGAAAACUACAGAAACCAGUCCACACAGAGAAGACUUUUAGGGUUCAGCUGCCCAUUGAUCUGAGCCCCGGAACGAAUAUAACUUGCUGCACAGCCUUUGGAAAGCCAUGUAACAUCUCUGCGCCGUUUCCUUGUUUGUGCUAAAUUAUUGCUGAGGCCUCUUCCUGCACCAGCUUUCUAUGCCACUGCAAUUUGACACAAUCCUUGACCAAAUCAUAAAUACCUU